rnacentral:tRNA from 1 species
AGGGAUGUGGCUCAGCAGCAGAGCACUUGCCUAGCAUGCAUGAAGCCCUGAGUUCAAUCCCCAGCCCUG